rnacentral:tRNA from 1 species
UCCCUGGUGGCUCAGAUGGUAAAGAAUCUGCCUGCCAAGCAGGAGACUCAGGUUCAAUCCCUGGGUUGGGAA